GACGAACGCUGGCGGCGUGCUUAACACAUGCAAGUCGAGCGGUAAGGCCCUUUCGGGGGUACACGAGCGGCGAACGGGUGAGUAACACGUGGGUGACCUGCCCUUAGCUCUGGGAUAAGCCUGGGAAACUGGGUCUAAUACCGGAUAUGACCUCAUGACGCAUGUUGUGGGGUGGAAAGCCUUGUGCGGCUAGGGAUGGGCCCGCGGCCUAUCAGCUUGUUGGUGGGGUGAUGGCCACCAAGGCGACGACGGGUAGCCGGCCUGAGAGGGCGACCGGCCACACUGGGACUGAGACACGGCCCAGACUCCUACGGGAGGCAGCAGUGGGGAAUCUUGCGCAAUGGGCGAAAGCCUGACGCAGCGACGCCGCGUGGGCGAAGAAGGCCUGGUGUAA
rnacentral:rRNA from 1 species